GCUGUGCGUGUGCGAUCGACGGACGUUCAAGAAACCACGGUGGUGUGUGCAGUGCAUAACCUUCAAUACGUCGUGUGUGCUGGUGCUAUGCUGAGUUGUUUCGUGUGUUACACGUAUACUAAAAUACUUUCAUGUUGACAUGAAAGUUGCUCUAGUUUUACUUGUUUCUGCUGAUGAGUAUGGCGGUGAACGGUGCUCGUCAUCGUUCUUCGAUUCGCCUCUGUUUUCGAUACCGUUUCAUUCUCUACACUGCGCUGUUGAUUCUGUUCCUACAAUUCAUUUUCUACCUAAAGUUUUCAACUUUGGAUGGCAUGGACUUUGAAAGUGACAGCAAUAACAACAAGCGUUUCAAUCGAGAGGCAGUGCAUGGGGGAAACCCACAUGAGUUACCUGAAACCGAUAGUAAUAAUAAGAAUGUGUAUUCUGCUAGGCAUAAGCCAAGGCCUAGGCCUGAAUUUCGUAAACCAGCAUCCAGUAAAGAUAAAGGUACCAAGAAGAAAAACCCUGUCCACUCUGCACAUGUCCAGUCUGCGAUGAACGAUGAAUUGAAUUUUGCUAAAAAAGAGGAAAAUUUUCAUGCAAAUGACAGUAAAUUAUUUUCAAAGAAAAAUAAAGUCUCCUUAAAAAAGGAUAGUGAGAAACAGACUGCUGUAAAUAAUAUAAACACUAAACAUAAAGAGAGUUAUAGGAACAAUAACGUGUUUACAAAUGAAACAAGGACUAAUAAGUACUUACCAAAAUGUGCGAUACAAAAUAAAGACGCUAUUUCGGCUUUGAGCCGGGCAACCACAGAUGACUGUAAGCAACGUAUUGCAGAUGUAGUCUGCCAGGUGCAAGAUAACAAGCUUUAUCCUAAAACACUUCCAAGAUAUUGUCCACUUAAAGGAAAAGCUUCAACUCAAAUUGAACAGGAUGACCUGUUCACCACCGACACAGAAUCUCCAGUGCGUAUUGUGUACGUUCUAGUGGUGCACGGACGUGCACUUCGACAGGUUUCUCGUUUGAUCAAGGUGUUAAAUGAUUCACGACAUUAUUUCUAUAUUCAUGUAGACGUGAGGUCUGAUUAUCUCCACCGUGAGCUUAGCAAAAUAGCCAAGAACCUGGAUAACGUCCGACUGACACCUUGGAGGAUGGCAACGAUUUGGGGAGGAGCCAGUCUCCUUCAGGUGCUUCUCAAGUGUAUGGACGACCUCCUAAAUAUGCCCGAAUGGAAAUGGGAUUUCUUCAUCAACCUCAGCGAAUCUGAUUUUCCCAUCAAGUCCAAUGACAAAGUUGUUGCAUUUCUAACCAAGUACAGAAAAUACAAUUUUCUGAAGUCUCAUGGUAGAGAUGAUGUCAGGUUUACCAAGAAGCAGGGGUUAGACCGAACCUUUUACGAGUGCGACGCACAUAUGUGGCGCUUAGGAGAACGUGAACUUCCUAAAGGUAUCGUGGUGGAUGGAGGAUCUGAUUGGAUCGUUGUGAACCGAGAGUAUUGCCAGUACUUGAUCACAGCUGACAACGAAUUAGUUAUUGGGUUGAAACAUCUUUACAAGUACACUCUGCUACCAGCUGAGUCAUUUUUUCACACAGUACUUGAAAACUCUGAACUGUGCGAAACAUUUGUAGACAAUAACUUACGUGUCACCAACUGGAAACGCAAGUUGGGAUGUCAGUGCCAACAUAAACACAUCGUUGAUUGGUGUGGUUGUUCACCAAAUGACUUCAAGCCAGACGACUUCAACAGAUUAAAGACAAGCAGACCCACAUUUUUUGCCAGAAAGUUUGAAGCUGUUAUCAAUCAAGCAAUCAUAAAUCGUGUUGAAGCUUGGAUGUAUCGGGAGUAUCCUAGAGGUACAGCCGGUCUACGAACAUACUGGCAAAGUUUAUAUCAUAUAGAAGACACUGUGACCAAAGUUACAGACACAGCAAUGACAUUUUAUCAAGCAUUUGUGAGAAUGGCUGCCGUACAUAUACAGUGGGUUGCCAGGGCUAAUGUUCACACAAGUAGUUGUCGUUUCAAAUUCAGCUCCACUCCGACAGAGGUUAGUUUAAUCAAAAUGUCUGACGAAUUCAAAGGGAUUAUUAUCACGCUGGAGACGCGUCUCGAGUCGGGGGAAACUGAAACAAUCGAAGGAUUAUUCACGCCACAACUUUGGCAGAAGACUGUAAACCCAAUUGGACCGGCAGGUCGUCUAAUAACAAUGGAAGUUGGGUCAGAAUACGAUGCCAAAGAACAAGUCUUCCGUAACUAUGGAAACCUUUUGGGAACCCUUGAUGAGCCGAUUAUUCUCAUGAAAUGGGGAGAAGGGGAAGUAUACACAAUCACAAUCACAUGGAUUGAUCCCACCAAUCAAAUCGCAGCAUCAUUUGACACCACAGUUGAUAGCGAUUGUGAUGAAAUGCAUCAUAAACCGGAAUUUAAUAAGCCACUAAGACCUGGGAAAUGGACCAUCAAAAUGCUUUACCAGUGGAUGGUUGUGGCCGAGACAAAUUUUCUGGUCAUACCGCUGGCUGUAAAAUAUGGUGAACCAAUAACCGAACAUGAUGCAGAAUCCACUAAUAGCGGGCCACCUCGUAAUAGCUAUGUGGAUCGUGAUUUCACAAGUAUGAAAACAAUAUUUCAGUUAGCUGAUUCGGAAUCGAUUGUUGAACUUGCAAACGAAAAAGGGAAGAAAACCGGAGAGGAUUUGCACAGCUGGGUUGAUGAGCUUGUUGGAACUUUUUGGAUAAUGGGUGGUUUUUGUAUGGACAUCUUAAAUUCCAAUGGUGCUGUUUGCAAAGGUCUUACUAAAUGUCGCGAUGUUCACUGGAGCACAAAAUCACCGGAUCCAAAGUCUGACCUCACCAUCCCUAAACAUCAACCAUAAUCUUAUGUACUUAACAUGUAAUGAGAAAUUUUAAAAACCUUUCAUAAAACCAAAUAUAUGCAGAGUUUUUAGCCCUAUCCACACUAUCAAUUUUUAUACAAGUACCUAUGAUUUGCCCAUUUAUGAAUGUGAAACCUUCUUAUAAUAAUGUACAGAUUACCAGCAAUGGCCAUACUUGUUGAGACGAACAAUAAGCAAAGAACCCUGUAUUUCCUCUCAACAGUGUUUAUCUUUUACAAUACCGUAUAUACUUGCGUAUAAGAUAAGACUUAAAAUAGAAAAUUCCGGUCGAAAAACGAGGUCAUCUAAUACGCGCGAAAAACAAAUUUUAGAUUUUUAAAAUCAUGUUGGUCUUUUGUCUUUUAACAUGCGAAUUUAAUACUGCAAUGAAGCUACUAAAAUGUUAGUAGGCCUAUGAAUGAACGAAUUUUAAAUACGGGGAAGUAAGCUUUUGAUGAACAUAUAAAAUCUUAUAAAAUGCAGCAAAAUGUAUGAAUUCCGACGGUGAAACGGGAGGGGAGGCGCAUCUUAUAUGCCCGAUGUACAAAAAUCGUCUUAUACGCGGGUCGCCUUAUAUGCGAGUGUAUACGGUACUUAUAUGACAUCAUGUCCAUAUUUGGGUAAUUUACACAAAUUCACAUAAACUUUGAUAGUUUUGAUAGAGCUUAAAUCGCUGUCCACCUAUCAAAUUUUCUUUGACAAAAAACUGUUGUAUGCCCAUAUUUAGUCGUGAUGUGCCUAUAUAUGGGCAUGAUGUGAUGUCAUCAUGACCAUAUAUAGGCAUGUCACAUGUUUUUGUCAAAUACAAUUUGAUAGUGUGCACAUGGCUUAAGAAGAAAUUUGUACAGUAUUUUCAUAAAAAAAAGAAACUUAAGGAUACAGCCAGAUUUGGAUACGUCUGCUGUUAAAAUCGUUGGGGAAAACAGCUAAUGAAUUUGGCUAAAAAAAAAAGCAAGUAUUAUUUAUGUUUGUGGCUGUUUCCCUAUUGUGUUGUUCAACUGUGUUUGUGUUGAAUAUGCGCUGUGUACAUUCAUGAAUAUUAAUGUUUUAGUGAAUAUUCAUUAAUAUAUUUAAUGAAUAUACAUAGACAUUUUGCAGGAAGAUUGUUUUAUAUAUAUUUCAGUAAAUAUAUUUUUUUUCUUAUUUCUACCUCUUUGAUAAUAUAAAUUGCUUCCUUUACCCAGGAAAAUGGAAGCUUGAAUUAACUAAUGUCUAUGAACUUUAAGGAAAAUGUUAGUUUUCAUAAAAAGGAAUAUAAAAUAAAUUUAAUUUUAUAAGUAAAAAUGAAAAGUGGUACACUAAACAGGUAUCUAAAUAUUAAGAUACUAAUAUGACCUUUGACUUCUUUCCGAGGUGGAUUUCUUUUUGAGGCUACUUUUGCUUCAAUUCGAGAUGGGCUUCUUCUCAAGAUGAAGCCCAUUGGGCUUCUAUUCAGGGUUUUACUGUAUAUGAUUUAUUAGCAUAUUGGACAUAUUGGCUACAUACUGAACAAACAUAUUUUUAAAAAGAAGUUAAAAAAAAUCAAAUUCCAACUUAUAUAGGAGACCUGUCAUUAUAACUCAACAUUUAUUUUUAUAUUUGAGUGUCCAUAUGUACAUUUUGCUGAUUUUAUUAGAGUUGUGUCUAUAUUUUGCAAGUUAUUUUUCUCAUUAUACCUCGUUGAAUUCUUAGUUUGCACACAUGCUAAACAAAAAUAAUAUACCCGCCAAUUACCCGCCAAUAAUUUUAAGUUUAUUUUACACAUGUUUUUUUAGUUGUCAAUGUAUGUGAGGGCUUGUGCAUACACCAGGGAACAAUUAAGUAUAUUACAUUUCUCCACAAAUUUAAUGUUUUCUUAAAUAAUUUCUUUAAAUAUUCAGUAUUCAAAGUGUUGGACAAGAUGGACUGUUCUUAGAUUUAAUAACAUUUUACUUUUUUAUAGCAACAAUAUUUGAUAUUAUUUUAAAAGUUUUUAUUUAACUCAUCUUUAUUUUUUAAAUCUGAUAUUUAAUUUUUUUCUAUAGUUUUGCAAAUAUUUUCCAUUUAAUAUAUUUCAUUUCUAGAUAAUAUUUUUGCUUUUAAAGAUUAUGACAUAUUGCUCACAUAGGUAUGGCAUCUAGAUGGCUGAAGUAGCACUCUCAGAGUUGUAUAAUAAUGUGAUUCUUUAUUUUGAGACCCACUGAAAAACACUGGCAGCCUAAAUUUGUGUCAUGACCCACAGUUUAGGAAGCAGUGCUCUUAGAGUUUUGUCCAACUUACAACAAAGACACGCUUUCUUUCAGAUUUUUGUGAAAAAAAGCACUGAUGGCGUUGUCGGGUAGGCCUUGCCUAGCCGUUGAGGAGCCACAGUAAAACCUGAUGGGGAAAAUGAAACAUGGUGGGGGGGGGGUGUGGCCCAUCUGUCAGGAACGAUGGGACAUCCGUUGGGGAAUAGAUGGUGCCGCCCCUGAACAACAUCAGACAAAGUUGAAGCACUGUUCGUUGAAGAUUAAGCCCAUAAUACACACUCAAUUUUUAUGUAAUAAUUAUGUUUGUGUAUAUAGCCCAAAAAUGGGCAUGAUUAUGUCAUAUCUUACCCAUAUAUGGGCAUGAUGAUGUCAUAUCACCCAUAUGGGCAUGAUGUCAUUUCACACCCAUAUAUGGGUAUGCUGAUGUCAUAUCACACCCAUAUAUGGGCAUAGAUGUCAUAUCACACCUAUAUAUGGGCAUGAUGAUGUCAUAUCACCCAUAUAUGGGCAUGAUGUCAUAUCACACCCAUAUAUGGGCAUGAUGAUGUCAUAUAACUCAUACAUGGGCAUGAUGUCAUUUCACACCCAUAUAUGUGUAUGAUGGUUUCAUAUCACCCAUAUAUGGGUAUGAUGAUGUCAUAUCACACCCAUAUAUGGGCAUGUCAUAUCACACCCAUAUAAGGUCAUGAUGAUGUCAUCACACCCAUAUAUGGUAAAUUAUAGUUUUUAACACGUAGAUAGCUUAGAUAGAGCCUUAAAGAUUCAAAUGAUAAUGUGUAAAAUGCUAUCAUAUUUUUAUCUCUGCCUGGCACAACAUAUUUUAUGAUGAUUCCUAUAUGAUAUUUGAUAUUUAUUUUAUGUAUUUUGUACAGCUUUGUAUAUUUUUUCUGUAAUGUAAGAAGACUGGACAUACUGAGCAUUAGAUUAUUUUGAAGAAUGGUGGUAACUAUGGCAUAAGUAAUUAUUAACUUUACAAUUUACAAUGUUAAUUAUUAUUGUAACGAUGUAAAUUGUUUGCCUUUUUGUUUACAGUGGACAAGUGUGUCAUAUCUAAACUUGUCAACUGAAUUGAGUAAAUUUUGGGUUUCUGUUUUAAAAUUUAAAUUAAGAAUAUAUUUUUCUCCCAUUUUUAGACUAAAAAGGCUUGACAUUUACAUUGUUGCUAUAGCAAUGGGACACGAUAUGAAAUGAUUUGAUUCGAAUAAUAAUAUUGAUUAUUAUUGUUAUUACUAAUAACACCAUCAUUAUCAAUAAUUAUCAUCAUUAUUUUCAUUAUUAAAAUUGUUGAUGUCGUUGAAUUAUUCGUUGUUGUUAUAUCAAGAAGACCAAAUGUAAUCAUUUCAUUGCACUAUUAAAGUUAUUGUUGUUGUCACUAUUAACCUUGCUACCAUCAAGAAGACCACAUUUGGUUUUUUGAAAUAUGUUAUAAUAAACAAUUACUAUAGGUGUAUCCUAUACACUACACUAGACUAGUGAAUUAGGGCAUGAAAAAAAAUUGCCCAAAUGGCACACACAAACUGAAGUAUGAUUUUUAAUGCAUUUGUGAGCUGUCGUGACAAAAUAAGUCAUGUGGUACAAAAAAUUAUAAAUGAGUUAUUGAUAUAUUUAGAUAGAUGAAUAGAUAUGCUUUCUUUUUGGUCUUUGAAUCAUGUUCUUAGGUUGAGUAAGAUCAUUUGAAGUUCAGAUGUCUAAAAACAUAAUCUAAUGUUGGCUCUAAAGAUAAACAACUGAUAAAUUUGUGUUGUUUUUUCUAAUCAAUUCUGAAAAAUAGCUUUACAAAACGUGCCUCAAAAACAUGAUUACCCUUGAUAACUCAUCUCAAAACUUUUGCUACUAUGAAAUAUACAUAUUAUACUAAUCAGAAAAACUGAAACAAAAUUUCUGUCAAAAUAUCACUUCAGAUAUAUUUUCUUUAAUAUAUCAAAUUAACCUGGCGUACCACAACUCAUUUUGUCACGACAGCAUUUAUUUUCUAUUCUAUGUGUUACAUUCUCCUGUUGUGUAUUGAAAUAUGACUAUACUAAUUGCUUUGCAAGUCAGUCACCUCCGCUUUACAAUUCUUAACUGUUGCCUGGAAUCAAAGAUCUUAUACAUGUAAUAACAAGAUGGAAUUCUCCACUAUUUCUACAUGCAAAUUCUGUAACAACAUAAGGGCGCCCUCUCACAAUUAGAAUUACUUUUCAACUUCGACAUCAACAAUCUUUAAAGAGGUGCAUUCUGCAGUUUCUGUGUGCAAAUUUUGUAACAACCAUUGUAACCACUAGGACACCCUUUUUCAAAUACAAUUAAUUUUUAUGGUUCUUUUUACUGAACCACAACGCUUCAGUUUGUUACGCGUAGACUAGCGGAGAGUGCUAUCUUGCUAUUAUAAGAUCUUUGCCUGGAAUAUGUUGACAAAAGGUCUAGUCAAAGAUUCUCCCUCCAAAAGAUCACAUAAAGAAUAAUGAACUCAUUAUGGGAUUAUUUUUUUAUGUUCAUAAGUGAGUGCAUACACAGUGCAUGUUUUGUACUCUUGUAAAAAUAAUUAUAAAAAUGGAUUUCCUCUAAUAGUUAUUAUUAAUAUUGUACAUGUUUUUGUUACUAUUAAAAUUAUAUUCAUUAAUAUUUUUAAUGAUUUUGAAACUGGCAUUAUUACAAUACUUGGUCAAUUGAUAUUUUUAUUUUAUUAUAAUAUCUGUAAAAUCUCGAAAAGAAGUCCUGGGAUUCAUCCUUCUUUUUAGGACCAUUGGAUCCGCCUCUUUUUGAGAUGGGCUGCUUUUCAAGAUUCUGUUUAAUAUUUUUUUAUUUUUAACUUUUUGCAAUAAAAUAUUUUGAUACAGAUUACGCUAUCAUAAUCUUCAAAUAUAAUGUCAGUCUGAAUGUAGUCUCGAAAGAAGCCCAUAGUAUCUUGAUUAGAAGCCUAUAUGCUUCUUUUCGAGAUGGGCUUCUUUUAGAGAUUACUCUUGCAAACUAAAGAGGGGGUGGGGUGGGGCUCCUUUUCGAGAUGUGCUUCUUCUUGAGAUAACCCCAUAGGGCUUCUAUUUGAGUUUUUACAGAAUUUAAAACGUGUUGUUCACAUCCAAAAGUGUGUGACUUGCCACCAAGUCCUGCCCACACUAUCAAGUUUAUGUAACAAAUGUGCAUUUAAUUUGUCCAUAUAUUGGCAUGAUGAUGUCAUGUAACUUCCAUAUAUGGGCAGGUACAGGUAUUGUCACUAAAAAUAUAUGAUAGCGUGUGACAGAGCUUUUCACAAAAAUUGUUAUUGAUUGUUGUUGUGUUCUUACAAAUACUAUUUUUAUUAUUGGUGAUAUUUUUCUUAUUACCGACAUACUUAAAUUGUAAAAGGUUAUUUAUAUUGUAUAUUAUGUUUUAUGUUUACGUUAAUUUUUGGUGCUAUCGGAAUAAUAAGAAUAGAAUAAUUUUUAUAAUUGAUAAAAUAAUGUAGUUUAAUUAGAUUUUUAAAUGCAUGCUACUGAUGUAGUUUUUAAUGUUCUGAGACUAAUUUCUUAGUUGAAUUUCUGUAAUAUAUAAUGUAACACCAACCAUAACAAUUUUUUUGGAAAUUAUAAAAUAACAUGAUAAUAAAAUGAUUUUUGUAAAACAG